UUCAGUCAAACACUCUUAACUCACGUUGAUUUUCAGCCCACACACAACUCACACACACUAACACCUAAAACACACACACCAUUCACGCAUAUACCAUUUUUAGCUUGAGCUCAAGCUUUUGAGCUCCGAUUUGAGCACCGAGAUGAACGCCGAUCAUCUUUUCGAUCACGUAUCUAAGUAGGUCCUUUUGGGAAGUAACGACUUGAGGGAGAGAGUGACGUUACUCAUUGAUACAGAGACACAACGAGGUUGAGCUGAUGUGAUGAUGGUGCUGCAAUGAGCGGAGUCUCCAGGGUUGUUAAUAAAUAGUUAACCUGUCUAGAAUAUGUCUUCAUACAUAUGUCUAGCUACUUUCCGCUGCAAGAUGUUGUUGAUGUUAUAGUAUGUUAUGUCAUACUUUGAGUCUUAAGAGAAUGGUUUCAUACGAUGUAUAACUUGAUUAAUGAUAUUAAUUAAGUUUUAUGCUGUCUUUCAUAGACUGUUUUCAAUUGAGUAUUAAUGAAUAAAAAUGACGAGUUUUAUUAA